UACGUAGGGCGCAAGCGUUGUCCGGAAUCAUUGGGCGUAAAGAGCUCGUAGGCGGCCUGUUGCGUCCGCUGUGAAAUCCCGGGGCUUAACCCCGGGCGUGCAGUGGAUACGGGCUGGCUGGAGGCAGGCAGGGGAGAACGGAAUUCCCGGUGUGAGCGGUGAAAUGCGCAGAUAGUCGGGAGGAACACCGGUGGCGAAGGCGGUUCUCUGGGCCUGUACUGACGCUGAGGAGCGAAAGCGUGGGGAGCGAACAGG
rnacentral:rRNA from 1 species